GAACUGAAGAGUUUGAUCCUGGCUCAGAUUGAACGCUGGCGGCAUGCUUUACACAUGCAAGUCGAACGGUAACAGGGUGCUUGCACCGCUGACGAGUGGCGAACGGGUGAGUAAUGCGUCGGAAUGUACCGUGUAAUGGGGGAUAGCUCGGCGAAAGCCGGAUUAAUACCGCAUACGCCCUGAGGGGGAAAGUGGGGGACCGUAAGGCCUCACGUUAUACGAGCAGCCGACGUCUGAUUAGCUAGUUGGUGAGGUAAGAGCUCACCAAGGCGACGAUCAGUAGCGGGUCUGAGAGGAUGAUCCGCCACACUGGGACUGAGACACGGCCCAGACUCCUACGGGAGGCAGCAGUGGGGAAUUUUGGACAAUGGGCGCAAGCCUGAUCCAGCCAUGCCGCGUGUCUGAAGAAGGCCUUCGGGUUGUAAAGGACUUUUGUUCGGGAGGAAAUCCCGCUGGUUAAUACCUGGCGGGGAUGACAGUACCGGAAGAAUAAGCACCGGCUAACUACGUGCCAGCAGCCGCGGUAAUACGUAGGGUGCAAGCGUUAAUCGGAAUUACUGGGCGUAAAGCGUGCGCAGGCGGUUGUGCAAGUCUGAUGUGAAAGCCCCGGGCUUAACC
rnacentral:rRNA from 1 species